UUGUCCUGCUCUACCUUGGCAACAGUUGUUGUUUCUCUUUCAGGUCCUUUGAAUGUGUCAUGGAAUUGACCUAGUUAGAUUCGUUGGGGAUUGCACAGGGUGUUUUGCUGAGCGAUUGUGGUAUAGCGAGAUCCUGAUCACACUAGGAAUCUCCAAUAAUCACAGCAGCUGCUGCAAAUGCUCAGCAAGUCCGGCAGCUUCUGUAGAUAUGAGGAGGAGGAUUAACAUCUCAGCUCUAUAAAAAGUCUACCAAUCUGUGUGUGGAGAAUACGGGCAGAAUCUGUUUAUUCAUAUGAUGUGCUUCAGUAACACUGACAGACUCCGAACAUUUUUGCAGAAUACAAACCGAAAGAAUUGCGAAUGCUGUAAAUCAGAAAUUGCUGUAAAAGCUGAGCAGGUCUGACAGCAUCUGUUGAGAGUAAUCGGAGUUAACACCUGGAGGCGAGUGACCCUCCCUCAGAAUGUAUGUCUGUGAGGAUUUCUUCGGGUUGGUUGCAGUUCCCAAUUGAG